UACGAAGGGGGCUAGCGUUGCUCGGAUUGACUGGGCGUAAAGGGCGCGUAGGCGGAUAGUACAGUCAGGCGUGAAAUCCCUCGGCUUAACCGGGGAACUGCGUCUGAUACUGGAUGGCUUGAGUUUGGGAGAGGGAUGCGGAAUUCCAGGUGUAGCGGUGAAAUGCGUAGAUAUCUGGAGGAACACCGGUGGCGAAGGCGGCAUCCUGGACCAACACUGACGCUGAGUGAGCGAAAGCCAGGGGAGCAAACGGG
rnacentral:rRNA from 1 species